UACGUAGGUGGCAAGCGUUGUCCGGAUUUACUGGGCGUAAAGAGCGCGCAGGCGGUCGUUCAAGUCGAGUGUGAAAGCCCCCGGCUCAACUGGGGAGGGUCACUCGAUACUGAUCGACUGGAAGGCAGGAGAGGGAAGCGGAAUUCCCGGUGUAGUGGUGAAAUGCGCAGAUAUCAGGAGGAACACCGGUGGCGAAGGCGGGUCUCUGGGCCGGUACCGACGCUGAGGAGCGAAAGCGUGGGGAGCGAACAGG
rnacentral:rRNA from 1 species